rnacentral:misc_RNA from 1 species
AAGUCGUAACAAGGUCUCCGUAGGUGAACCUGCGGAGGGAUCAUUACCGAGUGUGAUCGCUGACGGGCAACCCCCCGAAGCGUGACCUCCCAACCCCAUGUUAUCCGACCAUGUUGCCUCGGGGGCGACCCGGCCUUUUGGCUCCGGGGCCCCCGGUGGAAACCCAACAAACACUGCAUCCAUGCGUCCGAGUAAAUAUUGAAUCAAUCAAAACUUUCAACAACGGAUCUCUUGGUUCUG